rnacentral:rRNA from 1 species
AUUGAACGCUGGCGGCAGGCCUAACACAUGCAAGUCGAACGAUUGGCGGAGGGGUGAGUAAUGUCUGGAAAACUGCCCGAUGGAGGGGGAUACCUUCUGGAAACGGUAGCUAAUACCGCAUACCAUCGGAUGUGCCCAGAUGGGAGUAGCUAGUAGGGGGGGUAACGGCUCACCUAGGCGACGAUCCCUAGCUGGUCUGAGAGGAUUACCAGCCAAACUGGAACUGAGACACGGUCCAGACUCCUACGGGAGGCAGCAGUGGGGAAUAUUGCACAAGGGGCGCAAGCCGGAUGCAGCAAUGCGGCGUGUAGGAAGAAGGCCUUCGGGUUGUAAAGUACUUUCAGCGAGGAGGCGUUACUCACAGAAGAAGCAACGGCUAACUCCGUGCCAGCAGCCGCGGUAAUUC